rnacentral:rRNA from 1 species
UACGGAAGGCAGCAGUGGGGAAUAUUGCACAAUGGGCGCAAGCCUGAUGCAGCCAUGCCGCGUGUAUGAAAAAGGCCUUCGGGUUGUAAAGUACUUUCAGUCGUGAGGAAGGUGUUAAGGUUAAUAACCUUAGCAAUUGACGUUAGCGACAGAAGAAGCACCGGCUAACUCCGUGCCAGCAGCCGCGGUAAUACGGAGGGUGCGAGCGUUAAUCGGAAUUACUGGGCGUAAAGGGCACGCAGGCGGUUAAUUAAGUUGGAUGUGAAAUCCCCGGGCUUAACCUGGGAAUGGCAUUCAAGACUGGUUAGCUAGAGUCUUGUAGAGGGGGUAGAAUUCCAUGUGUAGCGGUGAAAUGCGUAGAGAUGUGGAGGAAUACCGGUGGCGGAAGGCGGCCCCUGGACAAAGGACUGACGCUCAUGUGCGAAAGCGUGGGGAGCAAACAGGGAUUAGAUACC